GAAAGAAAGAAAGAAAGAAAAAUGAGCUGACCAAUGAGAAGUCCCCCAGCGAUGGCCGAUUCCGCCCUCACGGUGCAGUUAAAGGAGGUUGCUUAUCUACAUCCAGAGACGCGCUCCUCUCCCAAUUUCCAAGAAGAGGAGGGAAGGCACACACAUGGCGUUGCCGAUAAAGUUUGCCCCCUGCUAGCACCAGCACCCAGAUCGCACAAAUGCCGAACCCAAAGAAGACAAAUAAUAAUUCCACGCACUUACCUCCAUGACUUCCGGAUUCUCAAAAUGGCCACUCCACAUCAAUUCCGUUUCUGGCUCUGGAAGAGGACGUCAUUUCCAGUCCCACCGUGAUGAUGUCACUUUUUUCCGGCUUCCAUUGAUGACGUCACUUUUCCAGUCCCACCAUGAUGACGUCACUUCCGGGCUCCCACUGAUGACAUCCCUUCCGGUCCCGGCAUGAUGACAUCACUUUCCGGGCUCCCAUUGAUGAUGCCACUUUCCAGUCCCGCCAUGAUGACAUCACUUUUUUCCAGCUCCCAUUGAUGACAUUACUUUUUUCAGUCGCGCUAUGAUGACGUUACUUCUGGGCUCUCAUUAAGGACGCCACUUUUUCCAGUCCCGGCAUGAUGAUGUCACUUCCGUCUUCUUCUUGAUGACAUUCACUUCCGGUUCCGCCAUGAUGAUAUCACUUCCGAUGUUCUGUUUUGGUGUCUUUUCCUGCCAACUCACAUCCUGUUUGCCAUUUUGUGUAUAAAUAUGUCAAUUUCA